AGUGAACGCUGGCGGCGUGCCUAAUACAUGCAAGUCGUACGGAAAGGCCCUUCGGGGUACUCGAGUGGCGGACGGCUGAGUAACGCGUGGGAACGUGCCCCAAAGUGAGGGAUAACGCACCGAAAGGUGUGCUAAUACCGCAUAUGGUCUUCGGAUUAAAGCUUCGGCGCUUUGGGAGCGGCCCGCGUACGAUUAGAUAGUUGGUGAGGUAGUGGCUCACCAAGUCGACGAUCGUUAGCUGGUCUGAGAGGAUGAUCAGCCAGACUGGGACUGAGACACGGCCCAGACUCCUACGGGAGGCAGCAGUAAGGAAUCUUCCACAAUGGGGGCAACCCUGACGGAGCAACGCCGCGUGCAGGAUGAAGGUUUUCGGAUCGUAAACUGCUUUUAUAAGUGAAGAAUAUGACGGUAACUUAUGAAUAAGGAUCGGCUAACUACGUGCCAGCAGCCGCAGUAAGAC
rnacentral:rRNA from 1 species